rnacentral:rRNA from 1 species
GACAGAGGUCCCAAGCGUUAGGCGGAAUCACUGGGCUUAAAGCGUGUGUAGGCGGAUUUGUAAGUACCUUGUGAAAUCCCACGGCUCAACCGUGGAACUGCUUGGUAUACUGCUUAUCUUGGGUCAUCUAGGGGCGAGCGGAACAAACGGUGGAGCGGUGAAAUGCGUAGAUAUCGUUUGGAACGCCAAUGGUGAAAACAGCUCGCUGGGGAUGUGCCGACGCUGAGACACGAAAGCCAGGGGAGCGAACGGG